AACGAACGCUGGCGGCGUGUCUUAAGCAUGCAAGUCGAGCGGCAAGGCGGGGCAACCCGCCCUAGAGCGGCGGACUGGUGAGUAACACGUGGGUGAUCUACCCUUGGUUUGGGGAUAGCCCGUGGAAACAUGGGGUAAUACCGAAUACGUCGUCCUGGCUACGGCCUGGACGGGAAAGGCGCCAAGGCGCCGACCGAGGAUGAGCCCGCGCCCCAUUAGCUAGUUGGUGAGGUAACGGCCCACCAAGGCGAUGAUGGGUAGGCGGCCUGAGAGGGUGUACGCCCACACUGGGACUGAGAUACGGCCCAGACUCCUACGGGAGGCAGCAGCUAAGAAUAUUCCG
rnacentral:rRNA from 1 species